rnacentral:rRNA from 1 species
AUUGAACGCUGGCGCCAGGUUAUCACAUGCAAGUCGAACGGUAGCAGGAGAAAGCGCUUUUUCUUGCUGUGACGUGGCGGACACGUGAGUAAUGCUUGGGAAUCUGGCUUAUGGAGAGGGAUAACGACGGGAAACUGUCGCUAAUACCGCGUAUUAUCGGAAGAUGAAAGUGCGGGACUGAGAGACCCCGUGCGAUAGGAUGAGCCCCCGUGGGAUUAGAGAGUUGGCGGGGGAUAUGCGUACAACGAGUGCGAUCUCUAGCUGUGCUGAGAGGAUGACCAGCGACACACUGGCUGAGACACGGGCCAGACUCUUCUAGGAGACAGCGGUGGGGAAUAUUGCGCGAUGUGGGGGACCUGACGCGGCCCUGUCGCGUGAAUAAAAGAAAGCCUUUAGGGUUGUAAAGUUCUUUUUGGUUUUGAGGGAAGGUUGAUGUGUUAAUAGCACAUCUAAAUUGACGUUUAAAACAGAAGAAGCACCGGGUAACUCCGUGCCCCAAGCCGCGGGUAAUACGGAGAGUGCGAGCGUUAGUCUGAAAAACUGGGCGUAAAAGGGACGCAGGGGGGUUAUUUUUAAAGAGGGGUGAAAACCCCCGGGCUUAAACCUGGGAAUUGCAUUUUAGAAUGGAGAAAUAGAGGACUUUUGGGGGGGGGGAGAAAAUCCCCCGGAGGGGGGGAAAAAUGCAGAGAUUGGAGGAAAACCCAAGGCAAAGGGGGCCCCUUGGGAAAUGCUGACCCCCCUUUGGGCAAAGGGGGGGGGGGAAAAGG